UACGUAGGGUGCGAGCGUUAAUCGGAAUUACUGGGCGUAAAGCGUGCGCAGGCGGUGAUGUAAGACAGAUGGUGAAAUCCCCGGGCUCAACCUGGGAACUGCAUUUGUGACUGCAUCGCUAGAGUACGGUAGAGGGGGAUGGAAUUCCGCGUGUAGCAGUGAAAUGCGUAGAUAUGCGGAGGAACACCGAUGGCGAAGGCAAUCCCCUGGACCUGUACUGACGCUCAUGCACGAAAGCGUGGGGAGCAAACAGG
rnacentral:rRNA from 1 species